AUUGAACGCUGGCGGCAUGCCUUACACAUGCAAGUCGAACGGUAACAGGUCUUCGGAUGCUGACGAGUGGCGAACGGGUGAGUAAUACAUCGGAACGUGCCUAGUAGUGGGGGAUAACUACUCGAAAGAGUGGCUAAUACCGCAUGAGAUCUACGGAUGAAAGCAGGGGAUCGCAAGACCUUGUGCUACUAGAGCGGCCGAUGGCAGAUUAGGUAGUUGGUGGGAUAAAAGCUUACCAAGCCGACGAUCUGUAGCUGGUCUGAGAGGACGAUCAGCAACACGGGGGCUGAGACACGGCCCAGACUCCUACGGGAGGCAGCAGUGGGGAAUUUUGGACAAUGGGCGAAAGCCUGAUCCAGCAAUGCCGCGUGCAGGAUGAAGGCCUUCGGGUUGUAAACUGCUUUUGUACGGAACGAAAAGCCCCGGGUUAAUACCCUGGGGUCAUGACGGUACCGUAAGAAUAAGCACCGGCUAACUACGUGCCAGCCGCCGCCGUAA
rnacentral:rRNA from 1 species